GCGGACGGGUGAGUAAUGCCUAGGAAUCUGCCUGGUAGUGGGGGAUAACGUUCGGAAACGGACGCUAAUACCGCAUACGUCCUACGGGAGAAAGCAGGGGACCUUCGGGCCUUGCGCUAUCAGAUGAGCCUAGGUCGGAUUAGCUAGUUGGUGAGGUAAUGGCUCACCAAGGCGACGAUCCGUAACUGGUCUGAGAGGAUGAUCAGUCACACUGGAACUGAGACACGGUCCAGACUCCUACGGGAGGCAGCAGUGGGGAAUAUUGGACAAUGGGCGAAAGCCUGAUCCAGCCAUGCCGCGUGUGUGAAGAAGGUCUUCGGAUUGUAAAGCACUUUAAGUUGGGAGGAAGGGCAGUUACCUAAUACGUGAUUGUUUUGACGUUACCGACAGAAUAAGCACCGGCUAACUCUGUGCCAGCAGCCGCGGUAAUACAGAGGGUGCAAGCGUUAAUCGGAAUUACUGGGCGUAAAGCGCGCGUAGGUGGUUAGUUAAGUUGGAUGUGAAAUCCCCGGGCUCAACCUGGGAACUGCAUUCAAAACUGACUGACUAGAGUAUGGUAGAGGGUGGUGGAAUUUCCUGUGUAGCGGUGAAAUGCGUAGAUAUAGGAAGGAACACCAGUGGCGAAGGCGACCACCUGGACUGAUACUGACACUGAGGUG
rnacentral:rRNA from 1 species